CUGGAAGGAACAGUUUGAAAUCAUUGUCUGGCAUUUCUCCCACCAAGUUGAAAGUCCAACAGAAUACACUGGAAGAGUUGGCCAAGAUCCCAGCUCAUGGGGCAGACAAGUGUACAGUGGAAGUAGUCCAGGAGAUCUCAGCAUACCUCACCAAGGCUUUUGACACUAUUUAC
rnacentral:sRNA from 1 species